CUUUGGUCAAGCUUGCAAAGCCGAGGCCAUAGAUACUUCUGGAUUGACUCCAGCACUGGGUACCUGGGAGGAGCAGCAAGAAAAGCUUCAAAGAUUGAUUUUACUAUUCCGUGGCAAUGACGUGCGUUCUGUAGAGGCUUGUCAUACUCACAAUUCUAGAAGAUGCAACUGUAGGGAUUCUGGUAGCGGUUGAAGGGGUACCCAUCCCAGUCGGACAGCUAUACGUCCAACAUUUGUGUCAACCUGUUAAAGGUAUGCAGCCUCCACUGAGACGACCCCUCAUAGAGCUGGACUCCAAUUCAACUUGAUAGCUAGAGCCAGAGUCGAACAGGUCGCUUG